AAAAUGGGAACAAUAUCAAGAAACACGAAUGCCAGUUCAGGAUUUGCAGAAAUGAAAGCUUCUUGAAGUUGAAGGAUAAAACAAGUGAGAAGACAAGCGGAGAACAGAAAUUAAAAAACAGCUAAUUGACGUCAAAAAACCGAUUUAAGAUUACCAGUGAGUCGUCAGUACUACAAG